GAUGAACGCUGGCGGCGUGCUUAACACAUGCAAGUCGAACGAGGUCCAACCUUCGGGUGAAGACCUAGUGGCGAACGGGUGAGUAACACGUGGGCAAUCUGCCCUCCACUCUGGGAUAACCCCCGGAAACGGGAGCUAAUACCGGAUACUUCGGAAUGGUCGCAUGGCCAAUCCGAGAAAGCUCCGGCGGUGGAGGAUGAGCCCGCGGCCCAUUAGCUUGUUGGCGGGGUAAUGGCCCACCAAGGCGACGAUGGGUAGCCGAGCUGAGAGGCUGAUCGGCCACACUGGGACUGAGACACGGCCCAGACUCCUACGGGAGGCAGCAGUGGGGAAUCUUGCGCAAUGGGCGAAAGCCUGACGCAGCAACGCCGCGUGCGGGAUGAAGGCUCUCGGGUCGUAACCGCUUUCAGUAGGGACGAAACUGACUGUACCUACAGAAGAAGCCCCGGCUAAAUACGUGCCAGCAGCCGCCGCCGUAA
rnacentral:rRNA from 1 species